AAAGCCUUAAGUUAAAUUAAAACUAAUAUCCUUCAAAGCUAAAAAUAAAGAAUCUCUUUAGGCUUUA
rnacentral:tRNA from 1 species